rnacentral:lncRNA from 10 species
AUUAGAGGCCAGGCACAGUGGCUUACACCUGUAAUGCCAGCACUUUGCGAGGCCGAGGCGGGCGAAUCAUCUGAGGUUGGGAGUUUGACACCAGACUGGCCAACAUGGUAAAACCCCUUCUCUACUAAAAGAAAAAUACAAAAAAAAAAAAAAAGUAGCCAGGUGCGGUCGCACAUGUCUGUAAUCCCAACUACGUGGAAGGCUGAGGCACAAGAAUUGCUUGAACCUGGGAGGCAGAGGUCGCAGUGAGCUGAGAUCGCACCACUGCACUCCAGUCUGGCCAACAGAACGAGACUCUGUCUCAAAAAUAAAUUAAUUAAUCAAAAUUAAUUGUCCAGCUUUGAUUUAGAAUCUUAACUGCUAUUACACGUCUCUUCUGUCUACCUUCAAAUAGGUCAUCUAAUACAUGGGAGAAACAUGGAUUUUGGAGUAUUUCUUGGGUGGAACAUAAAUAAUGAUACCUGGGUCAUAACUGAGCAACUAAAACCUUUAACAGUGAAUUUGGAUUUCCAAAGAAACAACAAAACUGUCUUCAAGGCUUCAAGCUUUGCUGGCUAUGUGGGCAUGUUAACAGGAUUCA